CAAAAUGAUACAGACACUUUGGAAGACACUUUGGCAGUUUCUUACAAAACUAACAUACUCUUACCACAUGAUCCAGCAAUUAUACUCCUUGAUAUUUACCCAAAUGAGCUGAAAACAUAUCCACACAGAAACCUACACAGGAUUUUAUAACUGCUUUAUUCAUAGUUGUCAAAACUUGGAAGCAACCAAGAUGUCCUCCAGUAGGCGAAUGGAAAAACACACUGUGGUACAUCCAGACAGUGGAAUAUUAUUCAGUACUAAAAGGAAAUGAGCUGUCAAGCCAUGAAAAGACAUGGAGGAAAUUUAAAUGCGAUUAUGAAGUGAAAGAAACCAAUCUGAAAAGGCUACCUGGGUGCGGUGGCUCAGGACUGUAAUUCCAGCUACAUGAGAGGAUUGCCUGAGGCCAGGAGUUUGAGACCAGCCUGAACAACAUAAUAGACUGGGAGCUCCAUGAGGUCCGAGACAACCUGAAGACGCCCAGCUCAGCAGAGACUGGCUACGGCAAUCACUCAGUAACUAUUUGUUGAAUUGGACAUAAUAGAAGAGCUGAAGAAUUUUAAACAAGUCACCAUCAGUGCAGUGGAUUCCUCAAAGCAAACCUGGAAAUCUCGGCAUGAGUUGGAUUUAAGGCAGUACAUUUUCAGCUCCUGAAAAUUUGAACAGUUUCUCAAGAGAACAACUUGAAACAGAAAGGCAAGGAUGUAGAUGUGGUUGUAGAAGAUGAUGUCUGCGGCCACCAAACUGUCCACUGUGAAGACAAACCAUGCAUGUUUAGUAGGCAGUGGCUCCUCUUCCCUGUGGGGAGUCCCACUGCUUCCCUGGCCUGGGUGUUCUCUGCCGGUAGAUGUUAUUGACAAAAUAAGCAAAGUCCUCUGAUUCUGAGAAUUAGAGUUAAUGAUAGCUCUAGAUUGCCUCUGCCAUGCUAUUUAAAGUCCUGCUUUAUUGUCUGACAUGAGUUCGGCAUCUAUGAGGACUUGUCCAGUGCAAAGUACAAUCUCCACUGAAAGAUAUCACCAGCACAUCUUGUCACUGUGCUGUAGCAAGCUGGGCAGUACAAUGAUGUUGGCAGGAUCCUGUUUAGGUGGAGGAUGGCCACCUGGGCAUCAAGAAUCUUCUACCCUGAUUCCACAUUGACUCCCCAAAGUGGGCUUCAGACAGCUCUUUACUUACGUCUUCUGAUUAAAGCAGCAGACAGGGUCCCAGCUAGAGAAAAGUUCUGGGAGCAGGAGAGGUGUUGGUGGCUUUAAAACCAGGGGUGAAGAUUGAAUUAGGAGGUUAGGCAGGAGUAGGAUCAAAGACUUAGAAAAUGCUUGUUUCCUCCUAUUAUUCUUAUGAGAGCUGAUACGGGGCUUUCAGUUUUGGGGGAGAGCCUUGGAAGAGAAUGAGGGAAUUUAAUCAACUAGCGGGACCUUUCCAACUUACAUUUCCCAGUGUUUGUUGGAUGAUACGUUUGCCUAAUAAGUUAAAGCUUCCAAAAAUAGAAAGGAAAGCUUGGUGACACUAAGCUCUGGCAUGCUGUCAUCUUCUGGCUAGGGGUCUUGUGCUUCUGUUUUUCUAUUUCUGACCAAAGACAUAAAAUGUGUUGUGACCUCUCAGGUAAUGCUGUGGUAUCAUGUCCAAGCAGUAACUAACCAGAGUGGAGUUUUUACAGGUAAAAAAGUAUUGAAUAGCUCAGCAACAGGGAGGACUUAAUGAUAAAUUGCUUUUUCAGAAAAUGACAAGGGGACAGACACUUGCGGUUCUUCCAUUGAGAGCCUUAAGGAAGUUAAGCGAAGCCUCUGCUCACCCCUUCAAGUAACGAUGACCCAUCAGAUCGUGGUCAUAACCAGUAGCAUCUGAGGCACCCCUAAGCUCUCUGGGCCCCAGAUUCCUUGUUAAGUUAAAUGAGGUGACUUCCCAGUUUACCAUUCUAGGGGUUCCUGAGGAGUUAAAAAUGAAGGAGAAAAUGCAACAUGUACCAAGUGAGCAAGAGCUCAAGGCUUAUCUCUGGCACGAAAGUGACCGCUGUCCGUUAGAGAUGUGAUUGCCCUAGAUUUCCUUUAGGAAAUGCAAACAUUGAACUCUGGCCUUCAGGACCCAAGUCCCGGCUUGCAUCUAUUCUAUACACUUUCUGUUAUUUGUUAGGGCUCACAAGGAACAGUUAUUUAUCUUUUAUUUUCUAUUUUUUUUUUAGAGAUGGAGUCUCACUCUGUCUCCCAGGCUGGAGUGCAGUGGUGCCAUCUCAGCUCACUGCAACCUCCACCUCCCGGGUUCAAGCAAUUCUCCUGUCUCAGCCUCCUGAGUAGCUGGGACUACAGGCGUGUGCCAUCAUGCCCGGCUAAUUUUUAGUAUUUUUAGUAGAGGCAGGGUUUCACCAUAUUGGCCAGGCUGGUCUUGAACUCCUGAUCUCAAGUGAUCUACCCUCCUUGGCCUCCCAAACUGCUGGAAUUACAGAUGUGAGCGACCACACCUGGCCCAUUUGUUUUCUUUCAAACCCUUCUGUAAGACCAGUGCUUUAGGUGAACACGUGGACAGAACAAGAUCAUCACUAUUUUGCAAUAUGAAGACCAACUGCGCUGUGACCAGAAAAACAGAGGCAAAAUGUUGAGCUUAAUGAUACCUUUUUAUAAUUUGUAUUUGGUGUUUCUCAAUUUUCCAUUGGAUAGUUUGAGAGAUAAGUACAAGUCAAUGACAUGUUCUCUUUCGUACCCUAUUGUCUAAUCCUGCUAACACACACACACACACACACACACACACUGAUUACCUAAUUUAUCUGUUCCCCGAUUAUUACACUCUCAAUUGCUGCAGAGUCUCAGAAGCAGCAUGGUGUAACAGAAAGAAUAUGAGGCUUAGAAUCCAAAAGCCAGAGUGUGAAUUCCAGCUCCACUGACUUGCUGCGUGACUUGAAGCAAGUCAUUACGUGUCUCUGUUUACUCAUUUUAUGACUUUCCUAUUGCCUCUGUAAUAUAGCACCACAAACGUGUGGACUUAAAACAACAUGCAUUUAUUCUCUUAGCGUUCUGGAGGUCAGGAGUCUGACAUCAAUUUCGUUGGGCUAAAAUCAAGAUGUUGGUAGGACCAAGAUCCCCGUGGAGGCUCUGGGAGAACCCAUUUCCUUGCCUUUGCCAGCUUCUAAUGCUGCAUUCCUUGCAUUCCUUGAUUGUUGACCUCUUCCCCCAUCUUCAAAGCCAGCAGAACAGCACCUUGUUUCAUUGCCUUCUUUACUGUCAAAUCUCCCUCUGCCUUCUUCUUAUAAGAACACUUGUGGUUGCAUUUAGAAGCUGUGAUAAUCCAGAAUAAUAUCUUUAUCUCAAGAUCUUUGACUUGGUCUCUUCUGCAAAGUCUCUUUUGCCACAGAGGGAAAUAUUCACAGGUCCCAGGGGUCAGGCUGUGUACGUCUUUGGGGGACUUUAUUCUGCCUACCACACUCAUCUUUUUUUUUUUUUUUUUUGGAUGGAGUCUUGCUCUGUCACCCAGGCUGGAGUGCAGUGGCAUGAUCUCGGCUCACUGCAACUUCUGCCUCCCCAGUUCAAGCAAUUCUCCUGCCUCAACCUCCCAAGUAGCUGGAAUUACAGGCGCCUGCCACCACGCCCGGCUACUUUUUGUACUUUUAGUAGAGAUGGGGUUUCACUAUGUUGGCCUGGCUGGUCUUGAACUCCUGACCUCAGGUGAUUCCCCCACCUUGGCCUCCCAAAGUGCUGAGAUUACAGACGUGAGCCACCAUGCCCGGCCCCACACUCAUCUAUUAAGUAGAGCUAGGAAUUCCUAUCCUAAGGGACACAAAAAUGAAAAAAGAUAAAAUUUGUGAAGAGGCACAUAAUGAAAGCCCAUACAUGUCACUGAGUUCAGAGGAGGGUGGGUCUGACCUCCCAUUGGCUGGUCUCUGCCUGAUGGACAUCGUGAAGAAGAGAGCCAGGACUAGUGUGGCUGGGGGAUGUUCAGGGGCCAGAGUGGCUUCAGGUGCCAGCAGCCCUGGCCGAAGGAUGACUCCAGGAGCAAGGCUCAGAGCCGAGUGGAAGAAGCUUCAUAAACGCAACUGAGCCAAGCAUGAUGGGAUGUGCCUGUGGUUCCAGCUACUCAGGAGGCAGGUGGGAGGAUGGCUUGAGUCAGAAGUUCGAGGCUGCAGUGAGCUAUGAUCACACUACUGUACUCCAGCCUGGGUGACAGAAUGACACCCUGUCUCUAAAAAGAAAAGGCACCUGGAUGCUCAUGACCGAGAUGGGGUGGGGUGGGUGGGGUGGGACAGCCGCACUUUAUAACUUUGCUUUCAGCAUGAUGUGGAUUAGUGUCUCCCAUGUGGGAAAAUUAUGUUUACCACUUAGAGACCUGAUAGUGCUUGCUUACCCCAUAACGCUGGACGGUGGCAGGCUUAACUCCCCCAUCAAGGGCCUUAAUGUAUUUGGGGCCCUAGUCCUAGCAACAGCAGCAAAUCUCCUUUUUCUUUUCCUCGAGCUGGUUGUUCACCAGGCAGUUGGGAUGUUAAUGGGAAGAGAAGACACACACAAGUCCCUUGUUUUCAAUAAGGCAGUCUGGUCACGUCCUUAGCAGGUUAUUAAUCUUUUUCAAACCCCUCCUCUCCACCAAGUUUUAUGAUCCUGGGAAGGAGAUUCCUACCUAGCAUCCUUAGAGUUAUCGGGGGUUAGGAUCGGUGCAUGCAGUCACUUCCGUGGAAUCAUCAGUAGCCCUCCAGCCUCUGGGGAGAGCUGCCAGUGGUCAGAGAUGUUGGGAAUUACGAGGGAGGAGCUAGGGAGAAGGAACUCACAGUCCCUCAGUCUCUGAAGGUGGCUCCUGGCAGGAGAGGGGGCCAGUCCUAGAUAAGAGCUCUCCCAGGGAAUUCCAAGGGUCCUCCCAAGGUCCAGCCACAAGAUGAGGAAUUACUGUUGGGCUCUUCCUCAGAUGUGCCUGUGAAUUCAUAUCACAGAUGCUUGAUGCAUUUGACAAUUGUUUAAUUGCUUGAGCCCAACUGAUACUCUUUCAGUCACUUUAAGGGAGUGAUUUCAAGUAUGAUCAUUGCCUCAAAUCUGUAUGGCUUUCCUUGCCUUUCAGGUGCUUUAAGAGGGCUUAUGUUCUUUGACUCCCCUAGUAACUCAAAAGGGUGGCUAAGAUGCAACUCUGGAGGUUUCCAAGCUCUCUGCAAAGCCUGCCUUCAGUAGUCUGUGCACCACAAGAAGCAUAACUUUAUUAUCCUCUAGCUGAAUUUACCUCCUGCUUCGAGCCCCUGUUUUCCCAUGUCAUUUUAGGGGUCCAAUGUUUUUCCUGGAGGCAUAUACACACACACACACACACACACACACACACACACACACACACACACACACACAUAUAUACACACACACAUUCCAGGGGCCUCUGAGGUGCCAAGACAUGUGUGGGGUCCAUCUGGUUCACACUGAUGUCCAUGAUCAUUGAGUUCAUUUUUUAUAUCAACUAUGUGACACUUCCUAUAGUUUCCAGUUCCUGGUUAGAAUUUGCAAAGUUGCCGACUAUUUCUUUGAAUAGAGUAGCUAGAUCAUGGGUCUACACCAGUCAUCAAGCAGCGAUUUCCCUGUUGGAAGCUCCAAGCAAAUUGUCAGCUCCAGCAUUCCACACAGCUGUGGGUGCCACACUCCUUUUCCUUUUAAAAGAUGAUGAUCUGCUAGUGGUGAAUGCUCUUGGAGUUUUAUUUGUAGGUUUUUCUUGUUGUCGCAAAUGUCUAUAUUUCAUCUUCCCUCUUGAGGGAUAUUUUCCAUGGGUAGAGGAUCUAGGCUUUUCUUUUGGAUUCCAUUGUGGCUUUAAAAAAAAGUCAGUUGACUGUUUAUUUAUGGCUUCUCUAAAGGUGAUCUCUUUCUUCCUAAGGCUGCUUUAAAAGUUUCCGUUCCCUCCCUCCCUUCCUCCCACCCCAUCCCCCUUCUUCCUUUCCUUCCUCCCUCCCUUCCUCCCUUCUCUUCCUCCCUUUCUCCCUUGUCUUCCUCCUUUUCUCCCAUCCUCCCUUCCUCCCUCUUUCCUUCUUUUUUCCCUUCCUCCCGCCCUCCUUCCUUCUUCCAUCAUUAUAUAUUAAAAUAUUUUCUUUCUUUCUUUUUUUUUUUUGAGAUGGAGUUUCGCUCUUGUUGCCCAGGCUGGAGUGCAACGGUGUGAUCUUGGCUUACUGCAACCUCCACCUCCCUGGUUCAAGCGAUUCACCUGCCUCAGCCUCCCUAGUAGCUGGGAUUACAGGUGCCCGCCACCACACCCAGCUAAUUUUUGUAAUUGUAGUAGAGAUGGGGUUUCACCAUGUGGGCCAGGCUGGUCUUGAACUCCUGAACUCAGGUAAUCCACCCGCCUUGUCCUCCCAAAGUGCUGGAAUUACAGGCAUGAGCCACCACUCCCAGCCUAUUAAAAUAUUUUCUUCUGGGCCUUCCCUCCUUUUACUUCUUUUGAUACCGCCAUCAAAUGCAUGUUAGGUUGACUCACUGUGUACUCUAUUACCCUCUCAUCUGGUUUUUAAUCUUUCUGUCUCCUUAUACUGUAAUCUCAGUGUUUCUUCUGCUUUAAUUUUGGUAUAUGAAUUAUUCAGCUGUGUUCAAAGUGUGGUUAAAGCGACUUAUAUGCUCUUUAAUUUUUAGUUAUUGUACUUUUCACCUCUAGAAGUUCUUCUGUGACACUUCUUAUAGUUUCCAGUUCCUGGUUAGAAUUUGCAAACUUGUUGACUAUUUCUUUGAAAAGAGUAGCUAGAAUUGUUUUAGUCUGUGUAUAGUGAGUUGAAUAUCUGAAACCUCUGUGAGUCUGUUUCUUUUGUCUGCUAGCCCUACUCAUGGCGUCAUGUUUUCCUGGAUGUUUAGUUGGUUGUCUUUGAAUAUGUCCAACUCCAGUUAUUUCUGGGAAUACCCAAAGGCACACCUGUUCACUAUCACCCAGUGAACUGCCAUGUGUUUGUCUCCUGUCAUGGUAACAUUUGCAUUCAGGGAGAGGCCUCUGCUCUCUGCAGAACAGUGUGAAAUCACCUCAUUUUUGCCUUCAAUGAAGGUUGUCUCUUGCUGGUCACCACCACUUCCUCAAAUGACUAAUGCCACUCUUGCUCACAGUGCUAAGGCGCUAAGGAGUUUUCAGAGGGCUAGAGUGAUUCUGCAUCCUCUGGGGUUCUCAGGAAACGAGGCCACAGGGCCAUCUGUGCAUGAGUGACAGUGGGGUGGGGUGGAUGAGCAGUGGCAGUGGUGGGCACCUAUGCUGCUGGCGCCACAGCUUUUUAUAUCUUGGUGAAAACAACGCCUUGCGUUUUCACUUGUAGAUUCUCCGGCUACAUUCCACAAGAACAAAUUCUGGUCACAGAGGCCAGAGUAGACUAUCAGUGUAAUGGCCCUUCCCCUUUGAUGAUAGCAGCUUUUUUCGGGGGAGCAGGGGUGGCCAAACUUCCUAGCCUUAUUUUAUCUUCCUUUCUAGUUCUCCCCAGAGGCUGCUGGGUCCACCUCUCCCUCUGCCAGACAGACAGGCUCAGACAUGCAAGAACGGAAGGGGGUGUGGGGGUUGGUGGGAGGAUUAAGUUGGGGAAAGCCAGUCUUGUCUUUGUAGAUUACCAGAACUGACACACGUACACACACGUACACUCACUCACUCACUCACUCAUCUAUUCAUCUAUUUUUGGCCUAAGUGCCUUUGGACACUUCUUCGGAAAAGCACAUGAACUCUUCGGAGUCUCCUGUUCCACUUGGUAAAUUUCCUAUAGCCACGCACUGAAAGUCCCUGCUGCCCUCCUUCCUCUGAGCUUGUGGGGCCCACAGAUCCCCUGCUCCACUUCCUGCUUCAUUUCAGCUGAUGGUGAGUCCAGGGCAGGCUUGUAGGAAGGGCGGGCUAGGCGUGGGGAACUGCAGCACCCACCCCACCCCCCGCCCCAGUGCUUGUUGCCCCAGCCUCUGUCUCCCUCGCUGUGCCCUUCCCUUAAGCCCCACUCUUGGCCUCCCCAAAGACAGAGUUUGUUCUGUUUUUAUUGAUAGGAUGACACUCCCUCGUUCUAAUACCAUCUGAAUGCCUGAGCAAUUACAUCUUACAACCUCAUGAAAAACACAGCAGCUUGUCACGAUGAAUGAUGUUACCGUGAAUAAUGCAGUUUUGAGUUCAAACUCCUUCUUAUUCCAAGAAUGAGUAAAUAUCCCUAUUCCCUCCCCUCCCCAUUGCAUUUGGGUUUGACAUGACAUGAAUCAUUGUGGUUUUACUCCUGGGUAGAAUUGUUUUUCUGUAUUGCAUUGCCAAUUGAUGGAAGGACAAAAAAAGGAAACUUACCAAUGAGCAGUUUCAGAUGAACUUAAAUUCUCAGAAAUCUUGAAGAAUGAAUGAACUAUAACUUUCUGAAGUUGCAAAAAUGUUCAAGUCGGAAGUGACCCAUGGGAAGCAACCUGGUCCUUAAUUAGGACUGGAAAGAAAACGGAGGCCCAGCGAGGGAACAGUGGCUUCCCCAAGGUCACACUGCAAGUGAGUGGUGGCACUAGUCACCCAGGAGUCCUCCUGACUCCAUGGUAUCCUGACCCCAGACCAGCAGCCUUAUUUGUGGUUAAAGAACGUGGAAAAACAGCUUAUGUUUGAAUUUUAAAAUCAUGCCAGUACUAAAGAUCUGCAUUCCAUGAAUAUUGAGCUUUGCUGUGUGCGGGUUGCUACGAAUUUUGUAACUAUUUUCUCUAAGAGCUCUCAGUAUUUUACAUAUACAAUUCCAUUCUUUAUUGUCCAGGGAAAAAGUUGCAUUUACUGAGCAGUAAGAGGGUGAUUUGAAGUCCCUGGGGUCCCCCACCCUUGUCUUUCUAUGUGAGAUUGUAUUGCAGGGCUCACAUUUAUUCUCUCAGCAGCUCAUUGCACAGACAGUGUAUUUAUUGAGCACCUACUGUGUGCCAGGAGCUAUGUGGUAAGCUAAGCAGACAAAAACUCCUGCUCUCACAAGAAGAAAGAAUAAACAAGCAGACAAUUGCACCUAUAAUGUCAGCCUGGUGUGAUGGCUCACUCCUGGAAUCCUAGCACUUUGGGAGGUGACGAUGGGAGGAUUGCUUUAACUCGGGAGUUCAAGAUAAGCCUGGGCAACCAAGACCCUGUCUCUACAAAAAAAUCAAAAAAUUAGCUGGGGGUGAUGGCAUGAGUCUCUGGUCCCUCGGGACCAGAGGCCUCGGGAGGCUGAGGCGGGUUUAUCACUUGAGCCUGGGAGGUUGAGGCUGCAGUGAGCUGUGAUCACACCACUGCACUCCAGCCUGGGCCACAGAGCGAGACCCUGUCUCUAAAUAAACAAACAACCUAAUGUCAAGUUAGGAAGUGUGGCAAAAAGGAACAAAGUCAGGGUGACUGCCAUUCUAGAAAGGGUGGUGAGGGAAGGUCUCCUUGAGCAGAUCCUGUGGGAGUGGAAGGGUAAGUCACGAGACUCUCUGGAGGAAGAAGAUUCCAGGUGGAAAUGCCUUAGUGGGUGUUAAACGCUUUAACGGGUGUUAGCCAGAAAGCCAGAAUGGCUGGAGCUGAGGGAGUAGAGGAGGCGGCAUAGAAAAUGAGGUCAGAGAUGGAGGCAGGGCCGGAUCACAGAGGGGCACAGAGAACGAGGAGGGAAUUGGAUUUUUGGAAAAGAUUGUGGCAAAAUACAAAAUAUAAAAUACAAAAAUAAAAUAUAAACCAUAAAAUGUACUACCUUUACCAUUUUAAGUAUGCAGUUCAGUAGUGUUAAAUACAUUUACAUCAUUGUUCAACCCGUCUCCAGAACUCUCUGCAUCUUGCAAAAUUAAAACUCUAUGCCAUUUCAACAGUUCGCAUUUCCUCUUCCCUCUCGUUCAUGGCAACCGCCAUUUUUCUUUCUGUCUCUGUAAAUGUUAGUACUUGGGGUAUCUCAUCUAAGUGGAAUCACACAGUGUGUGUCCUUUUGUGACAGACUUAUUUCACUUUGCAUAAUGUCCUUAAUAUUCAUCCAUGUUGUAGCAUGUGUCAGAUUUUCCUUCCUUCUUAACAUUGUGUAAUAUUCCAUUGUACGCAUAGACUACAUUUAGCUUAUCUGUUCACCUGUGGAUGGACACUUGGGUUGCUAUAGUGAAUAAUAUUGCUGUAAAUAUGGGUAUACGAUUAUCUCUUUGUGACCCUGCUUUUAAUUGUUUUGGAUAUAUACCCAGAAAUGGAAUUACUGAAUCAUGUGGAGAUUCUGUUUUUGAUUUAUUUAUUUAUUUUUAAUUUUUGAGAUGGAGUCUCGUUCUGUCACCCAGGCUGGAGUGCAGUGACACGAUCUCUGCUCACUGCAACCUCUGCCUCCUUGCACCAUUAAUUCUGAAAAUGCAGGCCUGGAUCCAACCGCCUUUGGGGACGGGUACCUGCCCACAGGAAGAGGUUGAGGAGACAAUAAUGUCACGAGAAUCAUCAUCUUUGACUGGGAAAUGGUGUGCAGAGUUUCUGGUGCCUUCUGAAGUGAUUGUCGCAUCUCAGCCUCCCUAGUAGCUGGGAUUACAGGCAUUUGCCACCAAGCCCGGCUAAUUUUUGUAUUUUUAGUAGAGACGGGGUUUCAUCAUGUUGGCCAGGCUGGUCUCAAACUCCUGACCUCAGGUGAUCCACCUGCCUCAGCCUCCCAAAGUGCUGGGAUUAUAGGUGUGAGCCAUGCACCUGGCCUGAUUGGUUAUUUAAAUUCUGAGAUGGGGUAUACUAAUGUUUGAAAACCACAGGGAUGGGAUAGGUAUAGGUGGGGAGGGAGAGCAAAAGUGGUAUUUAGAAUAUGUUACGUUUGAAAAACCUAAUACACAUUCUACAUCCAAGUGGACAUAGAUGGAGUUAUUUGA
rnacentral:lncRNA from 1 species